AGCAGCCGCGGUAAUUCCAGCUCCAAUAGCGUAUAUUAAAGUUGUUGCAGUUAAAAAGCUCGUAGUUGAAUUUCGGGAUCAAUAUGUUGGUCGUGCCUUGGUACGUACUGGCAUUAUUGGUUUCUACCUUCUGAAGAACCUCGAUGUCAUUAAUUUGGUGUCUUGGGGAAUCAGGACUGUUACUUUGAAAAAAUUAGAGUGUUUAAAGCAGGCUCGCGCUUGAAUACAUUAGCAUGGAAUAAUGAAAUAGGACGUUUGAUUCUAUUUUGUUGGUUUCUAGGAUCGACGUAAUGAUUAAUAGGGAUAGUUGGGGGCAUUAGUAUUCAAUUGUCAGAGGUGAAAUUCUUGGAUUUAUUGAAGACUAACUACUGCGAAAGCAUUUGCCAAGGAUGUUUUCAUUAAUCAAGAACGAAAGUUAGGGGAUCGAAGACGAUCAGAUACCGUCGUAGUCUUAACCAUAAACUAUAGCCGACUAGGGAUCGGAUGAUGUAAUUUUUAAUGUACUCAUUCGGCGCCUUAA
rnacentral:rRNA from 1 species